rnacentral:tRNA from 1 species
CGGGGUGUGGCGCAGUUGGCUAGCGCGCUCGCAUGGGGUGCGAGAGGUUCGUGAGUUCAAAUCUCACCACCCCGA